UAAUAUUCAAUUGUCAGAGGGUGAAAUUCUUGGAUCUAUUGAAGACUAACUUCUGCGAAAGCAUUUGCCAAGGAUGUUUUCAUUAAUCAAGAACGAAAGUUAGGGGAUCGAAGACGAUCAGAUACCGUCGUAGUCUUAACCAUAAACUAUGCCGACUAGGGAUCGGACGAUGUUAAUUUUUUAAUGACUCG
rnacentral:rRNA from 1 species